CUUUAAUAGACCCAGAUUUAACCCUUUACUUUUCAAAAAAAAAAGCGCUUCUAUUUUUGUUGUUGUAAUCUGACCAUAUUUGAAUGAGAAUCAAGAAUGGAUGGUAUUUUAAAAAGCUUUGCAUACAUUAAUUAAUCUUGAACCUUGGAAAGAUUUUUCAUUGCUUUUGUUUUACUUAAUUAUCUUUUUGUAAGAACUUUGAUUUGCUUUAUAGGGAAAAACGACAUAUUUCCACACUAGAAGUAUCGUAUAGUUAAAGAUCCACACGAUCUUUCAACCUUGUCUUAAUUGCCCAUAUGAUAAGUUUGACAACCUAUUUCCCCCCAAUUUAAAAGUUCGAAACCCAAACCCACAUGAACCUACAUUUAGCCGAUUAAAAUCUGUUUACUGAAUUU
rnacentral:lncRNA from 1 species